rnacentral:rRNA from 1 species
AUUGAACGCUGGCGGCAUGCUUUACACAUGCAAGUCGAACGGUAACAGGGAGCUUGCUCCGCUGACGAGUGGCGAACGGGUGAGUAAUGCGUCGGAACGUGCCGAGUAGUGGGGGAUAACGCAUCGAAAGGUGUGCUAAUACCGCAUACGUACUGAGGAAGAAAGUGGGGGACCUUCGGGCCUCACGCUAUCCGAGCGGCCGACGUCUGAUUAGCUAGUUGGUGAGGUAAAGGCUCACCAAGGCGACGAUCAGUAGCGGGUCUGAGAGGAUGAUCCGCCACACUGGGACUGAGACACGGCCCAGACUCCUACGGGUGGCAGCAGUGGGGAAUUUUGGACAAUGGGCGCAAGCCUGAUCCAGCCAUGCCGCGUGUCUGAAGAAGGCCUUCGGGUUGUAAAGGACUUUUGUCCGGGAGCAAAUGCUGGUGGCUAACAUCCACCGGAGCUGAGAGUACCGGAAGAAUAAGCACCGGCUAACUACGUGCCAGCCGCCGCCGUAAUAC